rnacentral:rRNA from 1 species
GACGAACGCUGGCGGCGUGCUUAACACAUGCAAGUCGAACGGAAAGGCCCUGCUUUUGUGGGGUGCUCGAGUGGCGAACGGGUGAGUAACACGUGAGUAACCUGCCCUUGACUUUGGGAUAACUUCAGGAAACUGGGGCUAAUACCGGAUAGGAGCUCCUGCUGCAUGGUGGGGGUUGGAAAGUUUCGGCGGUUGGGGAUGGACUCGCGGCUUAUCAGCUUGUUGGUGGGGUAGUGGCUUACCAAGGCUUUGACGGGUAGCCGGCCUGAGAGGGUGACCGGCCACAUGGGGACUGAGAUACGGCCCAGACUCCUACGGGAGGCAGCAGUGGGGAAUAUUGCACAAUGGGCGGAAGCCGGAUGCAGCAACGCCGCGUGCGGGAUGACGGCCUGCGGGUUGUAAACCGCUUUCGCCUGUGACGAAGCGUGAGUGACGGUAAUGGGUAAAGAAGCACCGGCUAACUACGUG